UACGGAGGGUGCAAGCGUUAUCCGGAUUCACUGGGUUUAAGGGGUGCGUAGGUGGGAAUGUAAGUCAGUGGUGAAAUCUCCGUGCUUAACACGGAAACUGCCAUUGAUACUAUGUUUCUUGAAUUUUCCGGAGGUCAGCGGAAUAUGUCAUGUAGCGGUGAAAUGCUUAGAUAUGACAUAGAACACCAAUUGCGAAGGCAGCUGACUACAGGGACAUUGACACUGAGGCACGAAAGCGUGGGGAUCAAACAGG
rnacentral:rRNA from 1 species